rnacentral:rRNA from 1 species
GUGGGGAAUAUUGGACAAUGGGCGUAAGCCUGAUCCGGCAAUACCACGUGAGUGAUGAAGGCCUUAGGGUUGUAAAGCUCUUUUAUUAGGGAGGAUGAUGACAGUACCUAAUGAAUAAGCACCGACUAACUUCGUGCCAGCAGUCGCGGUAAUACGAAGGGUGCUAGUGUUACUCGGAAUGAUUGGGCGUAAAGAGUGCGUAGGCGGGUAAGAAAGUAGAUAAUUUAAUCCCAAGGCUUAACCUUGGUUCGUUAUCUAAACUUCUUACCUGGAGUGCAGGAGGGGCUGAUAGAACUCCUGGUGAAGGGGUAAAAUCCGUAGAUAUCAGGAAGAAGAUCCGAAGCGAAGGCUUUCAGCUGGACUGUAACUGACGCUGUAGCACGAAAGCGUGGGUAGCGAACAGGAUUAGAUACCCUGGUA